UACGUAGGGGGCAAGCGUUGUCCGGAAUUAUUGGGCGUAAAGAGCGCGUAGGCGGUCCGAUAAGUCGGCUGUGAAAGUCUAGGGCUCAACCCUGGAAAGCCGGCCGAUACUGUCGGACUGGAGUCCGGAAGAGGCAAGUGGAAUUCCCGGUGUAGCGGUGAAAUGCGCAGAUAUCGGGAGGAACACCAAUGGCGAAGGCAGCUUGCUGGGACGGUACUGACGCUGAGGCGCGAAAGCGUGGGGAGCGAACAGG
rnacentral:rRNA from 1 species